rnacentral:rRNA from 1 species
CAGCCGCCACGGUAAUACGUAGGGUGCGAGCGUUAAUCGGAAUUACUGGGCGUAAAGCGUGCGCAGGCGGUUGUGUAAGACAGGUGUGAAAUCCCCGGGCUUAACCUGGGAACUGCGCUUGUGACUGCACAGCUAGAGUAUGGCAGAGGGGGGUGGAAUUCCGCGUGUAGCAGUGAAAUGCGUAGAUAUGCGGAGGAACACCGAUGGCGAAGGCAGCCCCCUGGGCCAACACUGACGCUCAUGCACGAAAGCGUGGGGAGCAAACAGGAUUAGAUACCCCCGUAGUCCCUGUCUCUUAUAA